rnacentral:lncRNA from 1 species
CGCGAUAGUUUGAGCUAUGAAUGAGUUCUUCCGUCGUGCAAGUGUUUCUUGUGCGAAUCGUAAAACGUAGUAGUGGCAGUAAUCCCUCAUAGUAGAGGAUAGCCAUGUCGGUCAUCCUUUUUUUGUUUUGUUUUUGGACUCUUAUCUUAACUGUAUUUUAUCUUGUAGCUCAUGCAUUGUGUUUUCAGAUAAACACUAGGUAGACUUUGCCUUUCUUGUUUCCUUUCGAAUCUUUGAACUUUUUGCUCUUUAUGCAUUUUUAGGGCAUGCUUGGUCUAUAAAUUAUUUCGGGAGCCAUGAAUGUGAAUUUUUUAGAGCUUUUUUGUUUAGAGCUUCAGUUUUUAGCAUGAUGUAGUAUGAUUAUGGAACUAUGGUAUUUUCUUAUUGUGUUUGCUAUUUUAUAAGUAUUAAUCUAGCCUCUUGGAAUGUAUUUUGUAACUAUAAUCCGUCUAGUAGUUGCUGUCUCAGUUUUUGUUUAUGGUGAGUCAAAAGGAGUUUGUCUGUAUUUAGCUUAUCAUUGCAACUUGAUAGAUAAGGAUAAAUUAAGUGUAGCCAAAUUGCCAAUUGGACUUGAAUUUUGACCAUCUUUGACAAGUUCAAAUUUAUUUUCGACUGUCUCACUCUGGACAUGUGAAUCCAUAAAUGGAUGGCUUAGUCUUUUUGUUGUAGCAUGUUUGAGUCUUUGUUAUGGAUGAUUGGGUUCAGCUGAAAGACCAAAUUUUUUUGAUUCCUUUGUUUGAUGUUGCUCCUUUUCGGCUCUGGCAAUGUUUCUAGCGCUGGGGGUGCCCUUUUUUUUUUCUUUUUUUUUUUUUUUGUGUGUGGAUGAAUGUUAAAUAUAAAAUCUUAUUGUAGUAUUUUCAUAUACCAUUCUAUUUGGUCAAUCUACUGCAAAAUGUGCAUGAUUUCUUUCUUAUAGUUUCUGUUUCCUGGGCGUAGUUGCUGUAUGAAGAUAAGUUUACUUAGAUGUUUUUUCUAGCAAAUUUUACAGGGUGUAGCUUCAGUGGUUUUCUUCUUGGUUCUAGUUUCCUGCUUUUAAUUAAGUAAUGUUUGCUCUUGUUGUUUAGUCGAGGACAGCUUGUCCUCUUGAUUAUCAAUACAAUCAUUUCUAUUCAAAAAACAAAACCAAAAAGUUGCUAUUUGAAAUCUUCUAACAAUUGAAGUUGAAUUCCCUGUAUUUUUUUUUAUGGUAUUUUUGUUUUUCUUUAGCUUUUUGUUAAAGAUUGUGCAUAGCUUCUCGUUGAAGAUUUGAUAUAGUUUUUCUUAAUCUUAUAUGCGAGAAGUGGGAAAAAGAAGGAAUUUUACACCCAAAUGGAAUUGGACAAGGUUCAAGAUGAAUGGGCAUGUCAUGUGCUAGAGUGGAUUUGAGUUUGAACAUUCUCCUUCUUGUUUUGGUAGUAUUUUGCUUAUAUAUGUAUGGAUGAUUGAUGGAUUUUGGUUUACUGGCAGAACUUAUAAGUUUAUAUAUAUAGGAAUGUUUUUUGAUGUUGCAAUGGCAAUAUAUAAGAAAUGGAUGAGAUGCCUCUAUAUUUUGAGACAGAAACUAAGUAAAAAAUGAUGUGAAACAUGGAAAUUGUUUACACUUUAUUAGUAACAACGAUGUCUAUUGUGUAUAACAAUCUCAGUUUUGCCAUAACAACUGAAGUUAAAAAUUAAAAACAAC